rnacentral:misc_RNA from 1 species
GGAAUGCAGUGGCCGGCGCUGAUGCAGGCGCUGGCGCUACGCCCCGGGGGGCCACCGACGUUCCGCCUGACCGGGAUCGGCCCGCCGCAGGCGGACAACACCGACGCGCUGCAGCAGGUCGGAUGGAAGCUGGCGCAGCUGGCCGAUGCGAUUCAUGUAGACUUCGAGUAUCGUGGAUUUGUAGCCUCCAGUCUGGCCGAUCUUGAGCCGUACAUGCUGGAGGUUCCGACUCCUGCUGGGGAGGAGCCGGAGGCUGUCGCUG